rnacentral:rRNA from 1 species
AUUGAACGCUGGCGGCAGGCUUAACACAUGCAAGUCGAGCGGGGUGAUGGUGCUUGCACUAUCACUUAGCGGCGGACGGGUGAGUAAUGCUUAGGAAUCUGCCUAUUAGUGGGGGACAACAUCUCGAAAGGGCUGCUAAUCCCUUUUACGUCCUACGGGAGAAAGCAGGGGGUCACGUGUGACCUUGGGCUCAUAGAUGACCCUGAGUCGGAUUAGCUUGUUGGGGGGGUGAAGUACUACCAAGGCGACGAUCUGUAGCGGGUCUGAGAGGAUGAUCCGCCACACUGGGACUGAGACACGGCCCAGACUCCGACGGGAGGCAGCAGUGGGGAAUAUUGGACAAUGGGGGGAACCCUGAUCCAGCCAUGCCGCGUGUGUGAAGAAGGCCUUAUGGUUGUAAAGCACUUUAAGCGAGGAGGAGGCUCUUUUGGUUAAUACCCAAGAUGAGUGGACGUUACUCGCAGAAUAAGCACCGGCUAACUCUGUGCCAGCCGCCGCCGUAA